UUAGUUAGGGGGUUUUGGUUUUGUGCCAUUGACCUUUUUUUAUUGACACCCUUAAUGUUACGAUUUUUUCAAAAACUAGCCCAAUUUUAACAGUAAACGUAAGUUGACCAUAAGUCAAACGACGGGUCAACAAAAUAGCUUAUGUGACAUGCCACAUAAGCAUGAUGUCAUCAAUUUUUUUUUUCAUUUUUUUCCAUAUUCUUUCUUCUUCUUUUUUUCUCUUUCUCUCUUCCCCUCUAAAACAUUUUUUUUCUCAAUGCUUUCCCAAAUUUUCUCUUUCCAAACACCCAAAUUCGGAUUAUCUUAUUUAGAAACAUGAUUCGAAAUUGAGAAACAUGUGACUAACUAAGAAAACACAAUAUUACAAUCUUACAACAAAGAAAACAUGAUUCGAAUUAUCUACCCUAUCAAACCAGCUAAC
rnacentral:lncRNA from 1 species